AAACUAACCAGGAUUCCCCUAGUAACGGCGAGUGAAGCGGGACGAGCUCAAAUUUGUAAUCUGGCUGCUUCGCAGUCCGAGUUGUAAUCUCGAGAAGCGUUUUCCGUGUUGGACCGCAUACAAGUCUGUUGGAAUACAGCGUGMGAUAAGGUGAYAACCCUGUUCAUGAUGCGGAYGCCCAAUGCUUUGUGAUGCGCUUUCGAAGAGUCGAGUUGUUUGGGAAUGCAGCUCAAAUUGGGUGGUAAAUUCCAUCUAAAGCUAAAUAUUGGCGAGAGACCGAUAGCGAACAAGUACCGUGAGGGAAAGAUGAAAAGCACUUUGGAAAGAGAGUUAACAGUACGUGAAAUUGUUGGAAGGGAAACGCUUCAAGUCAGACUUGCUUGACRGAGUUCAGCCKYCAMGGUGUACUCUCUGUURCGCAGGCCAGCAUCAGUUUUCCGGGCUGGAAAAGCGUCWUGGGAAGGUAGCAGCCUCGGCUGUGUUAUAGCCCKKGAYUGGAUUCAGCCURGGGGACUGAGGCAUGCAGUGUGCUUUUUGCAAAGGAUUCGUCCUUUUCCACACUUUGGAUGCUGGUGGAAUGGCUUGAAACGAC
rnacentral:rRNA from 1 species